CGGUGGAGCAUGUGGUUUAAUUCGACGCAACGCGAAGAACCUUACCAGGUCUUGACAUCCAACGAAUCCUUCUGAAAGGAAGGAGUGCCUUCGGGAGCGUUGAGACAGGUGGUGCAUGGUUGUCGUCAGCUCGUGUCGUGAGAUGUUGGGUUAAGUCCCGCAACGAGCGCAACCCUUGCUAUUAGUUGCUAACAGGUUAAGCUGAGCACUCUAAUGGGACUGCCGGUGACAAGCCGGAGGAAGGUGGGGAUGACGUCAAAUCAUCAUGCCCUUUAUGACCUGGGCUACACACGUGCUACAAUGGAUGGUACAGAGAGCAGCGAGGCAGCGAUGUGGAGCGAAUCUCAAAAAGCCAUUCUCAGUUCGGAUUGGAGUCUGCAACUCGACUCCAUGAAGUCGGAAUCGCUAGUAAUCGCGAAUCAGCAUGUCGCGGUGAAUGCGUUCCCGGGCCUU
rnacentral:rRNA from 1 species